GGGGGCAUAGCUCAGUGGAAGAGCAUUUGACUGCAGCUCAAAUAGUCUCUGGUUCAAUUCCAGAGGCCCCCU